rnacentral:rRNA from 1 species
GCUUAAAAUCUAGCCCCCCUCCUCCUAUGACCCCCCCCCCCUUUUUUUCAAACAACUAAAACAUUUUUAAAAUUAAGUAGAGGAGAUUGAAAAACUCAACGGAGCGACAAAAAUAGUACCGCAAGGGAAAGAUGAAAUAAAAAUGAAACAAAAUUCAAGCACGAAAAAGUAGAGAUACCCCCUCGUACCUUUUGCAUCAUGAUUCAACUAGUCUAAUCAAGCAAAAAGCAUUUUAGUUUGACCCCCCGAAACUAGGCGAGCUACUUCAGGACAGCUUUAUGAGCAAACCCGUCUCUGUCGCAAAAGAGUGGGAUGAUCCCCAAGUAGUGGUGACAGACCUAACGAGCUUAGUGAUAGCUGGUUACUCAAGAAAAGGAUUUCAGUUCAACCUAAAGCUUUCCCAAUUUGUGAAAAUACCUUUUAUGGCUUUAGAGCAAUUCAAGUAAGGUACAGCCUAUUUGAAACAGGAUACAACCUCAACUGCCGGGUAAAUUUUAAACCCUUUUAUCACAAUCAAGUAGGCCUAAGAGCAGCCACCUUCACUAAAAGCGUCAAAGCUUAUUUGUGAUCCUCAACUAAUUCCUUAAAUCCCCCUUAACCCUCUAACAGUAUUGAGUAAUUCUAUAUCCCUAUAGAACUUAUAAUGUUAAAACUAGUAACAAGAAGUAAACCUUCUCUUUAAUGUAAGUGUAAAUCAGAAAGGAUAACCCACUGAUAAUUAACGUCUAUGAGCCCACAUUAGUGACCCUACAAGAAAGCCCUAAUGUUUCCUACGUUAACCUGACACAAGAACAUUUCAAGAAAGAUUUAAAGAAAAAGAAGGAACUCGGCAAACCAUUAACCCCGCCUGUUUACCAAAAACAUCGCCUCUUGAAUAAGUAUAAGAGGUCCCGCCUGCCCAGUGACCCCAGUUCAACGGCCGCGGUAUCCUAACCGCGCGAAGGUAGCGUAAUCACUUGUUCUUUAAAUUAGGACUAGUAUGAACGGCACCACGAGAGUUAAGCUGUCUCCUUUUUCUAAUCAGUGAAACUAAUCUCCCCGUGAAGAAGCGGGGAUACAACUAUAAGACGAGAAGACCCUAUGGAGCUUAAAAUUUUAUUUCAACUGCCGCACCCAUAAAAGUUCCGACUACCCAUAAUUUACUUAGCAUUAUGACAAUAAAUUUUAGGUUGGGGCGACCAUGGAGAAUAAAAAAACCUCCACAUUGAAUAUAGGCCUCUUAGCCUUGAGCCAAGAGCUACGACUCGAUGUACUAAAACAUUAACAUCCAUUGACCCAAUUAUUUGAUCAACGAACCAAGUUACCCUAGGGAUAACAGCGCAAUCCACUUUAAGAGCCCCUAUCGACAAGUGGGUUUACGACCUCGAUGUUGGAUCAGGGUAUCCCAGUGGUGCAGCCGCUACUAAAGGUUCGUUUGUUCAACGAUUAAAACCCU